rnacentral:rRNA from 1 species
UGGGGAAUUUUGCACAAUGGGGGAAACCCUGAUGCAGCGACGCCGCGUGUACGAUGAAGAUCUUCGGAUUGUAAAGUACUGUCCUUGGUGAAGAUAAUGACUGUAACCAAGAAGCAAGCCCUGGCUAAAUACGUGCCAGCAGCCGCGGUAAUACGUAUGGGGCAAGCGUUGUCCGGAAUUAUUGGGCGUAAAGGGUACGUAGGCGGUUAUUUAAGUCUAAAUUAAAAGGCAUUGGCUCAACCAAUGUAAGGUUUAGAUACUGGGUAACUUGAGUAGAUGAGGGGAAAGUGGAAUUCCAUGUGUAGCGGUGAAAUGCGUAGAUAUAUGGAGGAACACCAAUGGCGAAGGCAACUUUCUUGAAUCAAACUGACGCUGAGGUACGAAGGCGUGGGGAGCAAACAGG